rnacentral:tRNA from 1 species
AUUUAAAUAGCUUAAUUUAGAGCGUAAUAUUGAAGAUAUUAAAGUAACAUGAAUGUUUUUAAAUG